UGAAUUUCAGUUUGUGCCCGUCCCUUCUC
rnacentral:piRNA from 1 species